rnacentral:rRNA from 1 species
ACUAUCAUUAACUGAAUCCAUAGGUUAAUGAGGCGAACCGGGGGAACUGAAACAUCUAAGUACCCCGAGGAAAAGAAAUCAACCGAGAUUCCCCCAGUAGCGGCGAGCGAACGGGGAGGAGCCCAGAGCCUGAAUCAGUGUGUGUGUUAGUGGAAGCGUCUGGAAAGGCGCGCGAUACAGGGUGACAGCCCCGUACACAAAAAUGCACAUGCUGUGAGCUCGAUGAGUAGGGCGGGACACGUGGUAUCCUGUCUGAAUAUGGGGGGACCAUCCUCCAAGGCUAAAUACUCCUGACUGACCGAUAGUGAACCAGUACCGUGAGGGAAAGGCGAAAAGAACCCCGGCGAGGGGAGUGAAAAAGAACCUGAAACCGUGUACGUACAAGCAGUGGGAGCACAGAGCAAUCUGUGUGACUGCGUACCUUUUGUAUAAUGGGUCAGCGACUUAUAUUCUGUAGCAAGGUUAACCGAAUAGGGGAGCCGAAGGGAAACCGAGUCUUAACUGGGCGUUAAGUUGCAGGGUAUAGACCCGAAACCCGGUGAUCUAGCCAUGGGCAGGUUGAAGGUUGGGUAACACUAACUGGAGGACCGAACCGACUAAUGUUGAAAAAUUAGCGGAUGACUUGUGGCUGGGGGUGAAAGGCCAAUCAAACCGGGAGAUAGCUGGUUCUCCCCGAAAGCUAUUUAGGUAGCGCCUCGUGAAUUCAUCUCCGGGGGUAGAGCACUGUUUCGGCAAGGGGGUCAUCCCGACUUACCAACCCGAUGCAAACUGCGAAUACCGGAGAAUGUUAUCACGGGAGACACACGGCGGGUGCUAACGUCCGUCGUGAAGAGGGAAACAACCCAGACCGCCAGCUAAGGUCCCAAAGUCAUGGUUAAGUGGGAAACGAUGUGGGAAGGCCCAGACAGCCAGGAUGUUGGCUUAGAAGCAGCCAUCAUUUAAAGAAAGCGUAAUAGCUCACUGGUCGAGUCGGCCUGCGCGGAAGAUGUAACGGGGCUAAACCAUGCACCGAAGCUGCGGCAGCGACACUAUGUGUUGUUGGGUAGGGGAGCGUUCUGUAAGCCUGUGAAGGUGUGCUGUGAGGCAUGCUGGAGGUAUCAGAAGUGCGAAUGCUGACAUAAGUAACGAUAAAGCGGGUGAAAAGCCCGCUCGCCGGAAGACCAAGGGUUCCUGUCCAACGUUAAUCGGGGCAGGGUGAGUCGACCCCUAAGGCGAGGCCGAAAGGCGUAGUCGAUGGGAAACAGGUUAAUAUUCCUGUACUUGGUGUUACUGCGAAGGGGGGACGGAGAAGGCUAUGUUGGCCGGGCGACGGUUGUCCCGGUUUAAGCGUGUAGGCUGGUUUUCCAGGCAAAUCCGGAAAAUCAAGGCUGAGGCGUGAUGACGAGGCACUACGGUGCUGAAGCAACAAAUGCCCUGCUUCCAGGAAAAGCCUCUAAGCAUCAGGUAACAUCAAAUCGUACCCCAAACCGACACAGGUGGUCAGGUAGAGAAUACCAAGGCGCUUGAGAGAACUCGGGUGAAGGAACUAGGCAAAAUGGUGCCGUAACUUCGGGAGAAGGCACGCUGAUAUGUAGGUGAAGCGACUUGCUCGUGGAGCUGAAAUCAGUCGAAGAUACCAGCUGGCUGCAACUGUUUAUUAAAAACACAGCACUGUGCAAACACGAAAGUGGACGUAUACGGUGUGACGCCUGCCCGGUGC